rnacentral:misc_RNA from 1 species
GAUGAAGAACGCAGCGAAAUGCGAUAAGUAGUGUGAAUUGCAGAAUUCAGUGAAUCAUCGAAUCUUUGAACGCACAUUGCGCCUGGCAGUAUUCUGCCAGGCAUGCCUGUCCGAGCGUCAUUUCACCACUCAAGCUCUGCUUGGUGUUGGAGGACCCGCGUUUAGUCGCGGGCCGCCGAAAUGCAUCGGCUGUUGUAUAUACAGCUUCCCUGUGUAGUAAAUGCUUAGCUUUACACUUUGAAACUUUUAUAUAACAUGCCGAAAAACCCUCAACUUUUGAAAGGUUGACCUCGGAUCAGGUAGGAAUACCCGCUGAACUUAAGCAUAUCAAUAAGCGGAGGA